rnacentral:tRNA from 1 species
GCAGUGGUAGUUCAGUGGUAUAAUUCUUGCCUUCCAUGUGGGAGACCUGGGUUCAAUCCCCAGCCAAUGCA